CUCCUUCCCAGCUCCAGACAAGCUAAGCUCUGAAGCAAAAUGUAUGGUUAGAUGCAGGAAUAUGAACUUUGAUGAACUUAUAGGACUGGAUGGACCUCCAGAGAUCAGCUACUGAUUUUUUAUUUAUUUUUUUUUAAAGAGUCUGUGUAGCUCUACAAGGGAAGUGUAAUUUUGUGUUACUGAAAUAUAAUAAAUUUCUUUAUAUUUCACGCAGGCCCUAACUUUACCAGCUACUAUUGCAGAAAUAACUAGAGUGCUCGUAACUGAGAAUUUAAAUGGAAUAUGAGUUGUAACCAUUCAGCAAACUCAGCUUUUCUUUCAUGCAAUGUAUGAGAUAUAUCUAGAAUAGAGGCAGAGCUCUCUUCUAAUCUCACCAGGAGUCAUGGUGGCCCUGUAAAAAAGAAGUUAUUCCCAACAAAGAAACUAUGUGGUUUCUGGUGGUGCCAGGCAAGGCUUUCAGCUUCUUUUUCUUCUCCUUUUGUUUUCCAAAUGGGUAUCUUCUGUGGAGCUACUACCAAACGUGACCUACACCAAAAGUGAUCAAAAUGCUGCUGUGCUGCUCCAGCUGCGGAGAGGAUUUUGCCAGUGGUGCACAAGAAGAUGAGGGAGGGAACUGAGGAGAUGGAGAUUGAAUCAUCAGGAGCUUCAACACCAUCUAAAGCUACUCUGGCCUACGGGGACGGCCCCUUAGAUGAAAGAAAACACAGAUGAACAUAGUAAUUGUUCCAAGCAAGCUGCAAAGAAUAGAUAUCAGCCAACUGUCUAAGAUGAGGAACUCGACAGUGCCAUUUCCAGUCCGAGAGAGGAAUGAAAAAAGCCACAGCAAGACUUGCAAGGCGUUGUUUUGAAGUGCUGCUGGCUCUUCCUACAGUUCAUCACGGAUCUUGUUAGGAAAUGAAGGAGAGGAAACUGGGCAACUGCGCUGCUGGGCCACGAGGAAACACACAAUGAGUAUAAUGAAGCCAGCAGCUGCAGGACAAUGGGAGCAGGCUGGGGCUAUUUUUGUUAGAUGUGAACAAUCAAUCGAACGUGUGAGACCUUAUCGUGCUCCCUCCCCGCCUUCUCCCCCUUUCUUGAACACUGGAAAUUUUCCCAAAGAGCUUUCCUUUUCUCUUAGUAAAGAUGAUUACCAUCAUAAUUUUCUCUUUCAUCUCCAAGCAGGUUUCUUUUGGAAAUCUUUGAUGGCUUCCUCUGAGCAUGGUUAUAUUGUCUUGCUGUGACAGAGUGAUUUGCAGCUGGGUCGCACUCGGCAUCAGGAAACCUGGAACAGCAUUUACCAGUAUUUAUGAGCGGCGAGCCUGAGCUCAGUAAACCCAGGAUGCCUCCUGAAGACAGAGGUAGCUAACCAAAAGCAUUUCCAGCUUUCUCCCGGGAUGUGUGGAAGCAGGGGGGCUCCUGUUGCUGUGAACACCCGGUGCCUGGGACAGCAAAGACAGGCCUUUUUCCCAGGGAAGAGGCUUGACAGGUCAUGGCUGUUUUGGGGAGGCAAAACCUGGCAGAGUUUCUACAUCACUGUGUUGCACUAGAGCUUGGCCACCAAACCUGGUGGGAUGAUCUUGGAGUGAACUGUUUUGGACUGGAUUCUGUGGCAGUGAACGACCAGGUGUGUGUAAUGUGUAUGGGAGUGAAAGAGCCUUCUGAGGAGCGAGAGGCAGAGCAGUUCUUCCAGCAUUUUGUGUGUCUUGUUCAAUUUGUAUUUAAUGAUAGACAGAGUGUUUUUUCACUGUUUCCAUUCUCUAGACCAAUUCACCUGUUCAUCAGUGGGCACACACAUAAGUUCACAAAGGUAUUUGCAUGUCAGUAAAGAUUUGAGAAAAUGUCCGAGCUGCGGUGAGCCUUCGUAUCUUGCAGUUAAAUUCCAUGUCUCUGAUGGAUUUCCCCACGCUGUUGCUAGGAGAUGAAGACACUGCCUAACAAAGGAUAUAUUGACAAAAAAUUUUCCAGAACAAAUCUAUCUUGUUAUGGUAAAUACACUCUCACAUAAAAUGAAUAUUGCAGGAUUUAUUUCCCCAUUGGUGGCAGUGGCAAAAUUGCACACAUCAAGUUAAGGUGAAAUUUUCUCAUCACAAAUGUGUUUUUGUUUUGUUUUGUUGACAUGAGGACUUCCAGUGUGUUUAAUGCCGAAAGUGCUGUUGCCUUCCAGUGUGUUUUGUUGCUAGGCUGAUAGCAUGAACACAUCCUACAUUAGUAUUUUUCCCUCUUCCCUUCUCUGCUACUUUUCCCUUUCAGGAAGAAAUGUGGCUUAUUAUAAAGAUUUCCUUUUUUCAUGACUCUUCUGGGAAGCAUGGAUUCCUUUGUU